rnacentral:rRNA from 1 species
GACGAACGCUGGCGGCGUGCUUAACACAUGCAAGUCGAACGGAAAGGCCCUGCUUUUGUGGGGUGCUCGAGUGGCGAACGGGUGAGUAACACGUGAGUAACCUGCCCUUGACUGUGGGAUAACUUCAGGAAACUGGGGCUAAUACCGGAUAGGAGCUCCUGCUGCAUGGUGGGGGUUGGAAAGUUUCGGCGGUUGGGGAUGGACUCGCGGCUUAUCAGCUUGUUGGUGGGGUAGUGGCUUACCAAGGCUUUGACGGGUAGCCCGCCUGAGAGGGUGACCGGCCACAUUGGUACUGAGAUACGGCCCAGACUCCUACGGUAGGCAGCAGUGGGGAAUAUUGCACAGUGGGGGGAAGCCUGAUGCAGCAACGCCGCGUGCGGGAUGACGGCCUUCGGGUUGUAAACCGCUUUCGCCUGUGACGAAGCGUGAGUGACGGUAAUGGGUAAAGAAGCACCGGCUAACUACGUG